AGUGUACUCCCUCCGUUCCAAAAUACUUGACUUCCAUUUGUCCAAAAAUGGAUGUACCUAUAUACUAAAACAUGUCUAGAUACAUAUAUAUUUUGACAAAUAGAAGGCAUGUAUUGUGGAACAGAGGGAGUAGAAU
rnacentral:pre_miRNA from 1 species